rnacentral:rRNA from 1 species
UGAGUUUGAUCAUGGCUCAGAUUGAACGCUGGCGGCAGGCCUAACACAUGCAAGUCGAGCGGUAGAGAGAAGCUUGCUUCUCUUGAGAGCGGCGGACGGGUGAGUAAUGCCUAGGAAUCUGCCUGGUAGUGGGGGAUAACGUUCGGAAACGGACGCUAAUACCGCAUACGUCCUACGGGAGAAAGCAGGGGACCUUCGGGCCUUGCGCUAUCAGAUGAGCCUAGGUCGGAUUAGCUAGUUGGUGGGGUAAUGGCUCACCAAGGCGACGAUCCGUAACUGGUCUGAGAGGAUGAUCAGUCACACUGGAACUGAGACACGGUCCAGACUCCUACGGGAGGCAGCAGUGGGGAAUAUUGGACAAUGGGCGAAAGCCUGAUCCAGCCAUGCCGCGUGUGUGAAGAAGGUCUUCGGAUUGUAAAGCACUUUAAGUUGGGAGGAAGGGCAGUUACCUAAUACGUGAUUGUUUUGACGUACCGACAG